CCAGCAGCUGCGGUAAUUCCAGCUCCUUCAGCCUGAGAUAGAAUUGUUGCAGUUAAAACGCUCGUAGUUGGAUUUUGUGGUGUGGUUUUGUGAUAUUUUGUAUGCAUAUUCGUAUGUAUAUGAGGUAUGACAACACACUAUAAUGGUGUUUUCUACGUUUCGACAAGGAAAACAUAUUACUGUGAGAAAAAGAGUGCGCUUAAGGGCGGCUUAUAUGCUAAGAUCAUUUAGCAUGGAAUAAACAUAACGGACAUUGGUUUGUUAUGUGUUGGUUUUCAAACCAAGUCAUGAUUGAUAAGGAUGGUUUGGGGAUGUUCGUAUUUAUACUCGAGGGGUGAAAUCUGAUAACA
rnacentral:rRNA from 1 species